GCGACGACAGGAGAGGCGGGAGUCACGGGACCCACCGACCUGGGUGGGGUGAAUCUUCGCAGGUGCACCUUAAGCACCCAAGCUCCGAGCGCUCUCUCCCCCACUUCCUCAUCAAAUCUGAAAGACGGGCUCUCUCUCUCGCUCUAAGCCAUCGUCUCCUUUUCUCCCCUUGGUGGGACGUCUCCAGUCACCCCUUUCUCGCUGCAAGGCGCUCUUCAAUGGAGGAUGAAAUCCAGACGAGGAAGAGCGCCGACGAUCGCGUUCGGUUCUUGGUCUCUCCUUUCACCUCCAGAAAGUGCUUUAGGUAUCUUCUUAUAAUCCGCGCAUUUGGCUUCUUCUUGGAUGUGGUCCUACGUUCGUGGAGAGGAAACGGAAUGUGGCUGUUUUCAAUUACCCCUGCUUUACGAUAAGUUCUUGAAUUGAAUUUCUUUUCUUUUUAUUUAUUUUUCCCUUUACCAGGUUUACUUUUCAGAUUGCCUCUGUUCGAUUUCUAGGUUCUCCCUUGGUUUCUUGUAAUCUUUUGGUGGUUUCUUGGUGUUUCUUAGUGGGUUGCCUCUGUUAGAUUUCUAGGGUUGGAGUUUCUUCGUGUUUCUUUCCAGAUUCCGUUCUCCAACGGAGAUGGUGGGUGGCUGGGUAGGAUGGGUAGGUGUUCGUCGGUAGCAAACUUUUCAUUUCAUGUUAUUCUGGGUUGAUAACUUUACUCUUACUGUUUUCAUCAAAAAAAAAAAAA